rnacentral:lncRNA from 1 species
ACACCACAUCUGACAAACAUCUUCCCUGGUCCAAAAGUUGAGCUUGAGGAAAAUGACAGGAUACAGUAUAAAUGUGAACAGACCUGGACAACAUUGUAUUCUGUCACAAGUAUUCAAACCUAUACGCAAAGCCUCAACAUGAGUGGGCCUUAUAAUGUAUGCGGCACAUCCUUCGGUUUUCCUAGCUCAUUUGGAAGAUAUCAAGAAAUUCCUGUUGGAGAAAUGUAUUAUGAACAGAAGGAAAAGAACUGUGUUUCUGUUAAAUCAUUUUACACAUAUGAAAGGAAUGACAAAGCAGCAAUCGAUAAUGACCGAAAACCAUUUCAUAGACCCCAGAGUUCUUUUGGUUCCUGUGAAAGUCAUGGAAGAAUUAAUACAAGAAAAAGGUCCUAUGAAUGCAAACUAUGUAGUAAAUCUUUCAUGUAUCCUUCUUUACUUCAAAAACAUGAAAUAACCCAUUCCCGUGAAAAACCCUACAGAUGCCUACAAUGUGGGAAAGCUUUCAGAAAUCUCAGUUCUCUUCAGAAGCAUAACAUAGUUCAUACUGAGGAAAAGCCUUAUAAAUGUCCUUAUUG